rnacentral:rRNA from 1 species
AUGGGCAUGCAGGCUUUGAUGGAUGUCCGUUGCACGAAUCUAGUCAACCCUAUAUGCAACUGGCUUGGUGAGAUCUACGACCCUGCCUCGAGGGAAUUUGCGAUUCCGGGACGUGGAAGACUACCGUUGGAUGAGGAAUCCGUGUUCUGCACUCUGGGUGUGCCACAUGGAGAGAUCAAAGUCCCGUAUGAGGUCAAUAAUAAGAUCGAGGAAAUGCUGUUCCCCUGUUUGUUUCCUGGGUUGGAAUCCAUGCCGAACACGAUUUUCCUGGCAGAUUCGCUGCAGGCAAUGACAACCCAUGGCGAGGUUUUUAAGAUGAAACUACUCAUGUACCUCAUCUCAGCUGUUUUUGCGCCGACCACUUCUCUUCGCCCAAGCAACAAAUGCUUCCCCAUCCGGGCGAAAUUGAAAGAUGUGAAGAACAUGAAUUGGUGCAAGUUUAUUGCCGACUUCUUGCAUGAUGCAUUCUCAAGCAAGAUGUACCAGAAGGGUUGUCGACUUCAUUUAGGGCUCAUGUACGUCGACUGUCUAGAUCUGUCCACUGUGGAUUUCACUGGGGCAGGAGGCCCGCCGCCUACGCACAAGUUUGCUGUUUCUACAUGGACGUACAACGCUGUCAAGGCUAUGCUUGCAGCAGACAGGGUAACUGAUACCAAAUAUGGAAAACUGCAGCUGAUGGCCAAGCAUGCUAUAGACUACAACGUGUUUGGGGGGCCUCAAAAUUUUGGAAAGUGGAUGGACGUGCACUCAGCUCCGUCUUGCCCUACUGAGGAGAGGGCACCUGUUGAGCAUCUAAUUGGGCAGUUUGCAUUCGGAAUGACCGGCUUGCUCGGGAAGUUAGUUGAGGGUUGGACGUCCCUUAACGGCUCUGACAGCAACGCGGUCGCGAGACAGUUCACUACAUUUGUCCCAGAACGGUCACAUCGGCCAACUGGUUGCCGAUGCCAGUAUGACUACAACAGUUCCCAAGAGCCUGCUGACACACAAGAUGAACUAGAUGGAGACGCUGGUCUCAACAAGGAGGACGAAGAUGACAUGGAAAACGUACAACACGACAGCAAUGAUGACAAACAUGUUGAAGUUCGUGCAGGUGGUAAGAAGGGCAAGGAUGCACCAGAUGUCCCCCACCGGACAAAGUUAAAGAAUAUACGGCUGCGAGAGGCGAGCGGGUGUUUCCCUCAAAGAGGGGGAGGGCUCCAGAGGAUGAUGGGCAGGGUUCCCUUGGCAAGAGGCCUAGGACCGAUCCCGUAG